rnacentral:rRNA from 1 species
UACGUAGGGGGCAAGCGUUGUCCGGAUUUAUUGGGCGUAAAGAGCGUGUAGGCGGCCAUGUAGGUCUGUUGUGAAAACUCGAGGCUCAACCUCGAGACGCCGAUGGAAACCACAUGGCUAGAGUCCGGAAGAGGAGAGUGGAAUUCCUGGUGUAGCGGUGAAAUGCGCAGAUAUCAGGAAGAACACCCGUGGCUAAGGCGGCUCUCUAGUACGGUACUGACGCUGAGGUGCGAAAGCGUGGGGAGCAAACAGG